GAUGAAGAACGUAGCGAAAUGCGAUAAGUAAUGUGAAUUGCAGAGUUCAGUGAAUCAUCGAAUCUUUGAACGCACAUUGCGCCCGUCAGUAUUCUGACGGACAUGCCUGUCCGAGCGUCAUUUCAACCCUCAAGCACUGCUUGGCGUUGGCGGAUUGCGUGCCCUCGCGGCGCUGCAACCGCCCAAAUACAGUGGCGGUCCCGCUGCGGCUCCCUUUGCGUAGUAACUCACCUCGCACUGGACCGGGCGGCGGCCUGCCGUAAAACCCCAACUCACGAAAUGUUGACCUCGGAUCAGGUAGGAAUACCCGCUGAACUUAAGCAUAUCAAUAAGCGGAGGA
rnacentral:misc_RNA from 1 species